rnacentral:lncRNA from 1 species
GGUCUUUUGAUUUAAGGUCCUUGGUUUGUGACCUUGAAAUUGAGGUCAAGGUCAUAGGUUAAUAAGACGUUCUAGAUUUUGACCUUUGCUUUAAAUUCAUAUAAAUACAUCAUAAAGCCAUAGGAACUAACAUUUUAAACUGAUUUUUCAUAUUUCGAUAUCAAAAUAGAUCUUUACUAGUGGAAAGACCUUCAAUUGUUC